UACGGAGGGUGCAAGCGUUAUCCGGAUUCACUGGGUUUAAAGGGUGCGUAGGUGGGUCUGUAAGUCAGUGGUGAAAUCUCCAUGCUUAACAUGGAAACUGCCAUUGAUACUAUAGGUCUUGAAUUUUCUGGAGGUGAGCGGAAUAUGUCAUGUAGCGGUGAAAUGCUUAGAUAUGACAUAGAACACCAAUUGCGAAGGCAGCUCACUACAGGAACAUUGACACUGAGGCACGAAAGCGUGGGGAUCAAACAGG
rnacentral:rRNA from 1 species